rnacentral:rRNA from 1 species
GGUGAGUAACGCGUGGGGACCUACCUCUUAGUGGGGGAUAACGGUUGGAAACGACCGCUAAUACCGCAUACGCCCUUCGGGGGAAAGAUUUAUCGCUAAGAGAUGGACCCGCGUUGGAUUAGCUAGUUGGUGAGGUAACGGCUCACCAAGGCGACGAUAGCUAGGGGGCGUGAGAGCGUGAUCCCCCACACGGGUACUGAGACACGGCCCAGACUCCUACGGGAGGCAGCAGUGGGGAAUUUUCCGCAAUGGGCGAAAGCCUGACGGAGCAACGCCGCGUGAGGGAUGAAGGCCUCUGGGCUGUAAACCUCUUUUAUCAAGGAAGAAGAUCUGACGGUACUUGAUGAAUAAGCCACGGCUAAUUCCGUGCCAGCAGCCGCGGUAAUACGGGAGUGGCAAGCGUUAUCCGGAAUUAUUGGGCGUAAAGCGUCCGCAGGCGGCCCUUCAAGUCUGCUGUUAAAAAGUGGAGCUUAACUCCAUCAUGGCAGUGGAAACUGUUGGGCUUGAGUGUGGUAGGGGCAGAGGGAAUUCCCGGUGUAGCGGUGAAAUGCGUAGAUAUCGGGAAGAACACCAGUGGCGAAGGCGCUCUGCUGGGCCAUCACUGACGCUCAUGGACGAAAGCCAGGGGAGCGAAAGGGAUUAGAUACCCCUGUAGUCCUGGCCGUAAACGAUGAACACUAGGUGUCGGGGGAAU